rnacentral:rRNA from 1 species
UACGUAGGGUGCAAGCGUUGUCCGGAAUUAUUGGGCGUAAAGAGCUUGUAGGCGGUUUGUCGCGUCUGCCGUGAAAAUUCGAGGCUCAACCUCGAACUUGCGGUGGGUACGGGCAGACUAGAGUGUGGUAGGGGAGACUGGAAUUCCUGGUGUAGCGGUGAAAUGCGCAGAUAUCAGGAGGAACACCGAUGGCGAAGGCAGGUCUCUGGGCCGAUACUGACGCUGAGGAGCGAAAGCGUGGGGAGCGAACAGG